AUUGAACGCUGGCGGCAUGCCUUACACAUGCAAGUCGAACGGCAGCACGGACUUCGGUCUGGUGGCGAGUGGCGAACGGGUGAGUAAUAUAUCGGAACAUACCUUGUAGUGGGGGAUAACUAUCCGAAAGGAUAGCUAAUACCGCAUACGCUCUACGGAGGAAAGUGGGGGAUCGCAAGACCUCAUGCUAUAAGAGUGGCCGAUAUCUGAUUAGCUAGUUGGUGAGGUAAAGGCUCACCAAGGCGACGAUCAGUAGCUGGUCUGAGAGGACGACCAGCCACACUGGAACUGAGACACGGUCCAGACUCCUACGGGAGGCAGCAGUGGGGGAAUUUUUGGGACAAUGGGGGCAACCCUGAUCCAGCAAUGCCGCGUGAGUGAAGAAGGCCUUC
rnacentral:rRNA from 1 species